UAAUACGUAGGUGGCAAGCGUUGUCCGGAAUUAUUGGGCGUAAAGCGCGCGCAGGCGGCUAUGUAAGUCUGAUGUUAAAGCCCGAGGCUCAACCUCGGUUCGCAUUGGAAACUGUGUAGCUUGAGUGCAGAAGAGGAAAGCGGUAUUCCACGUGUAGCGGUGAAAUGCGUAGAGACGUGGAGGAACACCAGUGGCGAAGGCGGCUUUCUGGUCUGUAACUGACGCUGAGGCGCGAAAGCGUGGGGAGCAAACAGGA
rnacentral:rRNA from 1 species